UUUUAUUUAUUCUUAUCGAGAUUGUAGGUGUAGUUACACUAACCAAAAUGUUGUUUCGCUAUGUUAUACUUUAUAUUACCAUUUAUUUUUACCACGCGGAUCAGUUAAAACUUCCUCGUUACGUGGUUGAACCAAACGUGAAGCCGGCAAUAUUUGGAUCUUAUAGUUAUGAUGUGAUAAAAGGAGAUUUCGUACUGCAAAAUAGCACUACAACUGACAUUAGCUUAACCGAUAUCAUUUUCAACAACACCUCGCCGUCAACAAGUGACGAUGAUAAUUUCAGAAAACAUGUGGCCGUUACCAAAACUAUAAAACCAUUAAAUUGGUGGACACGUGCAAGAAUGUUUUUAAGUAAUUCCACUCUUAAUAUUCUAACCAAUCAAACAAAAGUAAAUUAAUU